rnacentral:misc_RNA from 1 species
UAUAAAGCAUCAAGAGAAGGAAUGCAUCUUCAGUCGACUUCUGUUCUCGCUGCAGUCAACACCCUCUCUCUCUCUCUCCCAAAAUGAUUUCCCGCGUCGUGUUCGGACUCCUGGUCGUGGUUCUGCUGGCUGUCUCCGCCUUCGCCUUCCCCGACCCAAGCGGAGGAUACGGACACCGCAUCAUCGGAUACGGACACAUUGGACACGGAUACGGACACGGCUAUGGUGGCCACCGUGUCAUUUUAGGCUAUGGCGGCCUCGGCGGCGGGUACGGAUACAGGCCGUACUGGUGAGAG